rnacentral:rRNA from 1 species
ACUCCUACGGGAAGGCAGCAGUGGGGAAUAUUGCACAAUGGGCGCAAGCCUGAUGCAGCAACGCCGUGUGAGUGAAGAAGGUUUUCGGAUCGUAAAACUCUGUCCUAAGGGAAGAAACAAAUGACGGUACCUUAGGAGGAAGCCCCGGCUAACUACGUGCCAGCAGCCGCGGUAAUACGUAGGGGGCAAGCGUUAUCCGGAAUCACUGGGCGUAAAGGGUGCGUAGGCGGCUUAGCAAGCCAGGGGUGAAAGGCAUUGGCUCAACCAAUGUAAGCCUUUGGAACUGUUAAGCUUGAGUGCAGGAGAGGUAAGUGGAAUUCCUAGUGUAGAGGUGAAAUUCGUAGAUAUUAGGAGGAACACCAGUGGCGAAGGCGACUUACUGGACUGUAACUGACGCUGAUGCACGAAAGCGUGGGUAGCGAACAGGAUUAGAUACCCUGGUAGCACAGAG